rnacentral:misc_RNA from 1 species
GUAGGUGAACCUACGGAAGGAUCAUUGUCGAAACCUGCUCUAAGCAGACAGACUCGCGAACCCGUUUCUAACCAAGCGCUCCCGUGAUGCGCCCUCCUCCCCUCGGGCUGGGGGGCUGCCUCUCAGAAGCGCGACCAACCAAACCCCGGCACGGAUUGCGCCAAGGACUAUGAACAUCAGCGUGCCCCGCGAUUCCCGGUCUUCCGGCGUCGUGUCGUUUCUACCUAAAAAUAAAACGACUCUCGGCAACGGAUAUCUCGGCUCUC